UACGUAGGGUGCGAGCGUUGUCCGGAUUUAUUGGGCGUAAAGGGCUCGUAGGCGGCGUGUCGCGUCGGGAGUGAAAGACCGGGGCUUAACCCCGGUUCUGCUUCCGGUACGGGCAUGCUGGAGUGUGGCAGGGGAGACUGGAAUUCCUGGUGUAGCGGUGGAAAUGCGUCAGAUAUCAGGAGGAACACCGGUGGUGAAGCGGCUUCUGGCCAUAACUGACGCUGAGGCACGAAAGCGUGGGGUAGCAAACAGG
rnacentral:rRNA from 1 species